CGUGCCAGCAGCCGCGGUAAUACGUAGGGUGCAAGCGUUGUCCGGAAUUAUUGGGCGUAAAGAGCUCGUAGGCGGUUUGUCGCGUCUGCUGUGAAAUCCCGAGGCUCAACCUCGGGCUUGCAGUGGGUACGGGCAGACUAGAGUGCGGUAGGGGAGAUUGGAAUUCCUGGUGUAGCGGUGGAAUGCGCAGAUAUCAGGAGGAACACCGAUGGCGAAGGCAGAUCUCUGGGCCGUAACUGACGCUGAGGAGCGAAAGCAUGGGGAGCGAACAGGAUUAGAUACCCUGGUAGUCCAUGCCGUAAACGUUG
rnacentral:rRNA from 1 species